AGUAAACGCUGGCGGUAGGCCUAACACAUGCAAGUCGAACGACAACACAGUAAGAUCCUGCCUCUACGGGUGGCGACUGGCGGACGGGUGAUGAAUACAUCGCAAUCUACUGAGUCGGGGGAGAUCACGUAGGGAAACUCAUGCUAACACCGCAUACUUUCUACCGUCUAAAGCAUCAGAACGUCGGACCUUGCGUGAUUGUAUUUGCUUACGUCGGAUUAUCUAGUUGGCGGGGUAAAGGCACACCAAUGCCACGAUCCGUAGCUGGUCUGAGAGGGUGAUCAGCCACACUGGAACUGAGACACGGUCCAGACUCCUACGGGAGGCAGCAGUGGGGAAUAUUGGACAAUGGGCGAAAGCCUGAUCCAGCCAUACCGCGUGGGUGAAGAAGGCCUUCGGGUUGUAAAGCCCUUUUGUUGGGAAAGAAAAGCAGCAGGUUAAUACCCCGCUGUUCUGACGGUACCCAAAGAAUAAGCACCGGCUAACUUCGUG
rnacentral:rRNA from 1 species